CUGAGUCCUAAACACGAAAAAUUCUAGAAUGCACUGGAUAUAUUGGUGACCUGGUGUAGCAAAUCAAUCAAUAACAAACCAAUCAUAUAUUGGUGAGUCCUAAACACGAAAAAUUCUAGAAUGCACUGGAUAUAUUGGUGACCUGGUGUAGCAAAUCAAUCAAAUAUCUCCUUUUAGAGAUAUAUGCCUCAUCAUAAUUAUAAAAAAAUAUUUUUAUUAUACUUUUGUUUGAAAAGAAAAAAAUAUGAUUGGUUUGUUAUUGAUAACGCGGUACUAAAUGUGACGUUGUAGAAUUCCUCCCUAAACACACAUC
rnacentral:lncRNA from 1 species